rnacentral:tRNA from 1 species
GCCCCCAUCGUCUAGCGGCCUAGGACGUCGCCCUCUCACGGCGAAAACAGGGGUUCGAGUCCCCUUGGGGGCACCA